AUUGAACGCUGGCGGCAUGCCUUACACAUGCAAGUCGAACGGUAACAGGUCUUCGGAUGCUGACGAGUGGCGAACGGGUGAGUAAUACAUCGGAACGUGCCUAGUAGUGGGGGAUAACUACUCGAAAGAGUGGCUAAUACCGCAUGAGAUCUACGGAUGAAAGCAGGGGAUCGCAAGACCUUGUGCUACUAGAGCGGCCGAUGGCAGAUUAGGUAGUUGGUGGGAUAAAAGCUUACCAAGCCGAAGAUCUGUAGCUGGUCGGAGAGGACGAUCAGCCACACUGGGACUGAGACACGGCCCAGACACCUACGGGAGGAAGAAGUGGGGAAUUUUGGACAAUGGUCGAAAGCCUGCUCCAGCAAUGCCGCGUACAGGAUGAAGGCCUUCGGGUUGUAAACUGCUUUUGUACGGAACGAAAAGCCCCGGGUUAAUACCCUGGGGUCAUGACGGUACCGUAAGAAUAAGCACCGGCUAACUACGUGCCAGCCGCCGCAGUAA
rnacentral:rRNA from 1 species